UCUAGUUGGAAAUCAAAACCCAAAGAAACAAAAAACUCCUUUCUCUCGCUCGAUGCACUGCUUCCCUCUCAAACCCUCUCUCAAUCUCCCGUAGUUUCCCUUCAUCUCACCUGAGCUCAUCGCCUCUUGCCGACGCAUUCCCCAAGCUCGAUGGAGCUAUUGUUUGUCGGCCUCGCCCUUGCCGCCCCGUCUUUCUCUUUCCGUAUCAUGUUACUGUUGUGCUGCCAUUAACCGUCGUGAUGUUGUCGUUGUUCUUGUAGGCGGUAUUGUCUCUCCUACUCGUUGUUCCACCCCUGUCCUCUUGUUCGUUAUUAUUAUGUUGUUGUGCGCUGAUGACCGGUGUUGUUAUUAUGUUGGCGUUGUUGUUGAUGGGCAGUUGUUGUUUUAUGGAUGUGGUGAUUCUGCCGCCACGGUGCUGCUGUUGUUAUUGAUUUGGUGCGUGUGUUAUCUUUACUAUGCAUAUAAUUUGCUCCUUCAAUUGUCGUGUUUAAUGAGUUACUUGAAAUUGGAUAUUAUCAUGUUUUUAAGCAUUGAAUAUGAUUAGAAAAUUGAUUAUGGAGUAUUAGUCUAACUGAUAAGUGUUGUAGAGGUUUAUAGUUAAUGGGUCAUCGAAUUGUUAUAGUGGUUAUUGUUGUGUUGCUGAUGACAAUACUGAUGUGGUUAUUCUGAAAAGGAGGAAUGUUUUUAAUAACCCUCUUAUUUCUUUAGUUAAAUUGGUUAGUUAACUUGGUUGAUUGAGUUCUAUAAUUUAGAAUUAUGAUUAUGAAUUGGGAAAGUUAGAUGAGUGAUGUAGCUAGUGUUGCUGAAUUAGAAUUGUUUGUGAAAUAGAGUUUCAAAUUGAAUGAUUUAUGAGAUAAUCUCGUUGCAUGGCAUUGAAAGAAUGCUAGUUAGGUUAGUAGAGUAGGUUGUAUUAAGAAAGGUUAAUUAGAUUAGUUUCUCAUGUAGCAAGGAAUUUAUUAAUUAUUGUUAUCAUUGUGAGGUACAUGAAUUGUCGAAACUGGUAUAUGGAAUUGGACGCAAUCAAGGAAGCUUAGUGGUUCUCAAUUAUUGGAUGGAGAUAAAUGAAUUGGAGUGCGUUUCAGACUGUGGCCUGUCCCUUGGUGGGUGGUAGUACUCCAAUAGUUUCAAGUUGAAGUUAUGGAGCAUCUUUUCCAAGAUAGAAGCAAUUAUGUGGUGGAUCCGAUGUGCUUAUUUGUAUUUUUCCAACGCGAGUACGUUCCAUUGUGUAAUAGAUAAUAAUUAAUGUUCUAGGUUUAUUCCUAAUUCUGGAUGAGCGACGUUGCUCCAGAUUUUCUUCAGCUGCUACUCCGCAAAAGCAUUGUGUUUUGGAUUUGGAAAUAUUUUUAGUUGUAACAAGUUUUCUAAA